UAGUUUAGUGUUGGGGCAAUCUUGGGGGGGAUUCUUCUCUAAUCUUUCAGAAACUUUGUCUGCGAACACUCUUUAAUGGACCAGAUCAGGAUUUGAGCGGAAGAACGAAUGUAACUUUAAGAGGCAUUUCAUCCUUCAUGAAGCUGUUCAGGAUUUUGAAUUGCAUAUGAGUGCUUGGCUCUUCCUUCUGUUCUCCUAACUUCACAGAGAAUGCAGUUGUCUUGACUUCAGGUCUGUCUGUUCUGUUGGCAAGUAAAUGCAGUACUGUUCUGAUCCCGCUGCUAUUAGAAUGCAUUGUGAAACGACUGGAGUAUGAUUAAAAGUUGUGUUCCCCAA
rnacentral:lncRNA from 1 species